UUGACCUCAAAUCAGGUAGGACUACCCGCUGAACUUAAGCAUAUCAAUAAGCGGAGGAAAAGAAACUAACAAGGAUUCCCUCAGUAACUGCGAGUGAAGUGGGAAAAGCUCAAAUUUGAAAUCUGGCAGGUUCUACACACUGUCCGAAUUGUAAUCUAAAGAAGUGUUAUCUGUGCUGGACCAUGUAAAAGUCUUCUGGAAUGGAGCAUCAUAGAGGGUGAGAAUCCCGUCUUUGACAUGGACUACCAGUAUGUUUAUGGUACACUCUCAAAGAGUCGAGUUGUUUGGGAAUGCAGCUCAAAAUGGGUGGUAAAUGCCAUCUAAAGCUAAAUAUUGGCGAGAGACCGAUAGCGAACAAGUACCGUGAGGGAAAGAUGAAAAGAACUUUGGAAAGAGAGUUAAACAGUACGUGAAAUUGCUGAAAGGGAAACGCUUGAAGUCAGUCAUGUCAGCUGGAAAUCAGGCUUGCUUCUGCAAGGUGCACUUUCUAGUUGAUAGGUCAGCAUCAAUUUUGACCGUUGGAUAAAGGCAUUGGGAAUGUGGCAUCUUUGGAUGUGUUAUAGCCCAUUGUUGGAUACAGCGGUUGGGAUUGAGGAACUCAGCAUGCCCCCUUGGGGUUCAGGUUUCGGCCAUGUUCAUGCUUAGGAUGCUGGCGUAAUGGCUUUAAUCGACCCGUC
rnacentral:rRNA from 1 species